rnacentral:rRNA from 1 species
UUGUAUAAUGGGUCAGCGACUUAUAUUCUGUAGCAAGGUUAACCGCAUAGGGGAGCCGGAGGGAAACCGAGUCUUAAUUGGGCGUUAAGUUGCAGGGUAUAGACCCGAAACCCGGUGAUCUAGCCAUGGGCAGGUUGAAGGUUGGGUAACACUAACUGGAGGACCGAACCGACUAAUGUUGAAAAAUUAGCGGAUGACCUGUGGCUGGGGGUGAAAGGCCAAUCAAACCGGGAGAUAGCUGGUUCUCCCCGAAAGCUAUUUAGGUAGCGCCUCGUGAAUUCAUCUCCGGGGGUAGAGCACUGUUUCGGCCAGGGGGCCAUCCCGGCUUACCAAUCCGAUGCAAACUGCGAAUACCGGAGAAUGUUAUCACGGGAGACACACGGCGGGUGCUAACGUCCGUCGUGAAGAGGGAAACAACCCAGACCGCCAGCUAAGGUCCCAAAGUCAUGGUUAAGUGGGAAACGAUGUGGGAAGGCCCAGACAGCCAGGAUGUUGGCUUAGAAGCAGCCAUCAUUUAAAGAAAGCGUAAUAGCUCACUGGUCGAGUCGGCCUGCGCGGAAGAUGUAACGGGGCUAAACCAUGCACCGAAGCUGCGGCAGCGAACGUAUCACCCAAGACAACUUUACACAGUUGACGACUGACGGAGCGAAGCGACGUCAAAGCGUUUUACAACGUCGAGUUGGCUUAGGGAUACGUUCGUUGGGUAGGGGAGCGUUCUGUAAGCCGUUGAAGGUGUGUCGUGAGGCAUGCUGGAGGUAUCAGAAGUGCGAAUGCUGACAUAAGUAACGAUAAAGCGGGUGAAAAGCCCGCUCGCCGGAAGACCAAGGGUUCCUGUCCAACGUUAAUCGGGGCAGGGUGAGUCGACCCCUAAGGCGAGGCCGAAAGGCGUAGUCGAUGGGAAACGGGUUAAUAUUCCCGUACUUGGUGUUACUGCGAAGGGGGGACGGAGAAGGCUAUGUUGGCCGGGCGACGGUUGUCCCGGUUUAAGCGUGUAGGUGUGUGUUCCAGGUAAAUCCGGUUCACUUUAACACUGAGGCGUGAUGACGAGGCACCACGGUGCUGAAGCAACAAAUGCCCUGCUUCCAGGAAAAGCCUCUAAGCCUCAGGUAACAUCAAAUCGUACCCCAAACCGACACAGGUGGUCAGGUAGAGAAUACCAAGGCGCUUGAGAGAACUCGGGUGAAGGAACUAGGCAAAAUGGUGCCGUAACUUCGGGAGAAGGCACGCUGACACGUAGGUGAAGUGGUUUACCCAUGGAGCUGAAGUCAGUCGAAGAUACCAGCUGGCUGCAACUGUUUAUUAAAAACACAGCACUGUGCAAACACGAAAGUGGACGUAUACGGUGUGACGCCUGCCCGGUGCCGGAAGGUUAAUUGAUGGGGUCAGCGCAAGCGAAGCUCCUGAUCGAAGCCCCGGUAAACGGCGGCCGUAACUAUAACGGUCCUAAGGUAGCGAAAUUCCUUGUCGGGUAAGUUCCGACCUGCACGAAUGGCGUAAUGAUGGCCAGGCUGUCUCCACCCGGGACUCAGUGAAAUUGAACUCGCUGUGAAGAUGCAGUGUACCCGCGGCAAGACGGAAAGACCCCGUGAACCUUUACUAUAGCUUGACACUGAACACUGGUCCUUGAUGUGCAGGAUAGGUGGGAGGCUUUGAAGUGUGGACGCCAGUCUGCAUGGAGCCAUCCUUGAAAUACCACCCUUUAAUGGCUGGUGUUCUAACGUGGGCCCGUGAACCGGGUUGCGGACAGUGUCUGGUGGGUAGUUUGACUGGGGCGGUCUCCUCCUAAAGAGUAACGGAGGAGCACGAAGGUUGGCUAAUCCUGGUCGGACAUCAGGAGGUUAGUGCAAUGGCAUAAGCCAGCUUGACUGCGAGCGUGACGGCGCGAGCAGGUGCGAAAGCAGGUCAUAGUGAUCCGGUGGUUCUGAAUGGAAGGGCCAUCGCUCAACGGAUAAAAGGUACUCCGGGGAUAACAGGCUGAUACCGCCCAAGAGUUCAUAUCGACGGCGGUGUUUGGCACCUCGAUGUCGGCUCAUCACAUCCUGGGGCUGAAGUAGGUCCCAAGGGUAUGGCUGUUCGCCAUUUAAAGUGGUACGCGAGCUGGGUUUAGAACGUCGUGAGACAGUUCGGUCCCUAUCUGCCGUGGGCGCUGGAAGAUUGAGGGGGGCUGCUCCUAGUACGAGAGGACCGGAGUGGACGCAUCACUGGUGUU